rnacentral:rRNA from 1 species
UACGUAGGGGGCAAGCGUUGUCCGGAAUCAUUGGGCGUAAGGCGCGUGUAGGCGGCUGAGUAAGUCUGCUCUGAAAGCCCGGGGCUCAACCCCGGGAGGCGGGUGGAUACUGCUCAGCUCGAGUCCGGAAGAGGAGUGUGGAAUUCCUGGUGUAGCGGUGAAAUGCGCAGAUAUCAGGAGGAACACCAAUGGCGAAGGCAGCACUCUGGGACGGUACUGACGCUGAGACGCGAAAGCGUGGGGAGCAAACAGG